rnacentral:pre_miRNA from 1 species
UAUCUGCAUCUGUGUGUCUACAUGUGUGUGUGCAUGUGCAUGUGUGUGUAUCUGUGAGUGUGUGAAUGCAUGUGUGUACAUCUAUAUCUGUGUGUCUACAUGUGUGUGCAUGUGCAUAU